GUAGGGGAAGUUUAAGUUUUUGUGUGUUGGAAAGGAUUGAACGAAAAUUGUAUGAGUUGGUGAGCUUUAGAUUUUUUUUUUUUUAAACGAGAAAGGGAGGUGAAGUAAUUUAAAGAGAAAUAUAAGAGGUUGUGAUACUUAGUUACAUUUUUGGGUGUAAUAGAAGAAGGGGUAUUGGUAUGUUUAUUUGUAAUAUGGGUGAAGGGAAAUUUAA
rnacentral:lncRNA from 1 species